GACGAACGCUGGCGGCGUGCUUAACACAUGCAAGUCGAACGGAAAGGCCCUGCUUUUGUGGGGUGCUCGAGUGGCGAACGGGUGAGUAACACGUGAGUAACCUGCCCUUGACUUUGGGAUAACCUCAGGAAACUGGGGCUAAUGCCGGAUAGGAGCUCCUGCUGCAUGGUGGGGGUUGGAAAGUUUCGGCGGUUGGGGAUGGACUCCCGGCUUAUCAGCUUGUUGGUGGGGUAGUGGCUUACCAAGGCUUUGACGGGUAGCCGGCCUGGGAGGGUGACCGGCCACAUUGGGACUGAGAUACGGCCCAGACUCCUACGGGAGGCAGCAGUGGGGAAUAUUGCACAAUGGGCGGAAGCCUGAUGCAGCAACGCCGCGUGCGGGAUGACGGCCUUCGGGUUGUAAACCGCUUUCGCCUGUGACGAAGCGUGAGUGACGGUAAUGGGUAAAGAAGCACCGGCUAACUACGUG
rnacentral:rRNA from 1 species